rnacentral:rRNA from 1 species
GAUGAACGCUGGCGGCGUGCCUAAUACAUGCAAGUCGAGCGAACGGACGAGAAGCUUGCUUCUCUGAUGUUAGCGGCGGACGGGUGAGUAACACGUGGAUAACCUACCUAUAAGACUGGGAUAACUUCGGGAAACCGGAACUAAUACCGGAUGAUAUUUUGAACCGCAUGGUUCAAAAGUGAAAGACGGUCUUGCUGUCACUUAUAGAUGGAUCCGCGCUGCAUUAGCUAGUUGGUAAGGUAACGGCUUACCAAGGCAACGAUGCAUAGCCGACCUGAGAGGGUGAUCGGCCACACUGAAACUGAGACACGGUCCAGACUCCUACGGGAGGCAGCAGUAGGGAAUCUUCCGCAAUGGGCGAAAGCCUGACGGAGCAACGCCGCGUGAGUGAUGAAGGUCUUCGGAUCGUAAAACUCUGUUAUUAGGGAAGAACAUAUGUGUAAGUAACUGUGCACAUCUUGACGGUACCUAAUCAGAAAGCCACGGCUAACUACGUG